rnacentral:sRNA from 24 species
UUCCUCCAAAUGAAAAAAAAAAAAUAAAAAAAAUAAACGGAAGAGUGAAAAAGUUCGGGGUUAGCAAAGACUGAAGUGGAUCCAUACAUAAACUAGAUUUUUUGGCCACCCAACCCCGGAUCGCUGGACACGAAAUAGUUUGUGAGCACUCCGGGUAGCACAUAUAUCACUCUUCACGAUAUUAAUCGGAUCUUGGCGGCUAAAUGAUGAAGAUCCCACCACUCAUCGUUUGUUAAAUGGGAAUAGUAGAGGCAGCGCAUCUUGUUUAUAAUACUAUAUGGAACAUGGAAAAAGUGAAUCUUAUCUGGGGGGUGGAGCGACCGGAAGAAGACAUACGUUUUUGUGCCUAGUUCAUGAUGCAUUGUUGAAGGAAGGGCCGGACUUUUUGAAUGUAAGCAUCAAACCCUCACCCUGACAAAAAAUGUGGCUUUCUUUCUCUUGAAGAGGUCCUGUCUUUUUCCCUUUUUUGGCUUGUAGUUUUGCUGUAUGAUGUUGCGGUUCAGUUUCCUUACUUAUUUGCCGUCCGUAUUUAUAUAUAAAUUCUGCUCUCCGGGCGGUCCUUUUAGCCGCCGAAGUGAGCAUUGAAAAUCAAGAGCUUGAAAGGGUAAAGGUAGUUAAGAUAGUAUAUAUAUAUAAAUUGAAUUAUAUAUUUCAAUAAGGAAUGGUAUGAAAUUUUUCGUGGAUUAGUU